rnacentral:rRNA from 1 species
GCUAGGACGAACGCUGGCGGCGUGCCUAAUACAUGCAAGUCGAGCGGAAAUUUAUUGGUGCUUGCACCUUAAAUUUAGCGGCGGACGGGUGAGUAACACGUGGGUAACCUACCUUAUAGAUUGGGAUAACUCCGGGAAACCGGGGCUAAUACCGAAUAAUACUUUUUAACACAUGUUUGAAAGUUGAAAGACGGUUUCGGCUGUCACUAUAAGAUGGACCCGCGGCGCAUUAGCUAGUUGGUGAGGUAACGGCUCACCAAGGCAACGAUGCGUAGCCGACCUGAGAGGGUGAUCGGCCACACUGGGACUGAGACACGGCCCAGACUCCUACGGGAGGCAGCAGUAGGGAAUCUUCCACAAUGGACGAAAGUCUGAUGGAGCAACGCCGCCGUGAGUGAAGAAGGAUUUCGGUUCGUAAAACUCUGUUGCAAGGGAAGAACAAGUAGCGUAGUAACUGGCGCUACCUUGACGGUACCUUGUUAGAAAGCCACGGCUAACUACGUGCCAGCCGCCGC